rnacentral:rRNA from 1 species
AUUGAACGCUGGCGGCAGGCCUAACACAUGCAAGUCGAACGGUAACAGGAAGCAGCUUGCUGCUUUGCUGACGAGUGGCGGACGGGUGAGUAAUGUCUGGGAAACUGCCUGAUGGAGGGGGAUAACUACUGGAAACGGUAGCUAAUACCGCAUAACGUCGCAAGACCAAAGAGGGGGACCUUCGGGCCUCUUGCUAUCGGAUGUGCCCAGAUGGGAUUAGCUAGUAGGUGGGGUAACGGCUCACCUAGGCGACGAUCCCUAGCUGGUCUGAGAGGAUGACCAGCCACACUGGAACUGAGACACGGUCCAGACUCCUACGGGAGGCAGCAGUGGGGAAUAUUGCACAAUGGGCGCAAGCCUGAUGCAGCCAUGCCGCGUGUAUGAAGAAGGCCUUCGGGUUGUAAAGUACUUUCAGCGGGGAGGAAGGGAGUAAAGUUAAUACCUUUGCUCAUUGACGUUACCCGCAGAAGAAGCACCGGCUAACUCCGUG